UCCUCCCUCAAACCUCGUGUUUGGUGUUGGACCGUGUUGGUCGAGCGACCAACUGGUCUCAAAGACAAUGACGGCGUCCGUGGGACCCUCGGUGCAACGAGCUUUAACCCAGCACGCGUCGAGUUUCAAGGACCCUCCGGGCCGGUCUUGACCUCUAUCUUCUCA
rnacentral:misc_RNA from 1 species